CGCGCAGGCGGCGGUGUAAGCAUGGCGUGAAAGCCCCCGGCUCAACCGGGGAGGGUCGUCGUGGACUGCACCGCUUGAGGGCGAUAGGGGCUGGUGGAAUGCCUGGUGUAGUGGUGAAAUGCGUAGAGAUCAGGCGGAACACCCGUGGCGAAGGCGGCCAGCUGGGUCGUCCCUGACGCUGAGGCGCGAAGGCGUGGGGAGCGAACGG
rnacentral:rRNA from 1 species